UUGCAUAAGCCACUUGAAGGGUCUAAAUUCCUUAGCAACAUGAUGGAUGUAGUUGAAGGUUGAUGACUGCAGGUUGCAUUUCAGUCAAGUUGAAUUCAUAUAUUCUCCAUAGUGCUUCAGGCGGUGAGACCCACCGCGCAUCUUGGAAUGUUUGUAUUUCAUCAAUAACAUUUUCACCAUCAUCAGAUUGAACAUAAACGGCACACCGAUCAUGACCUUUAUAUAUAUACUUGUAUAGAUACUUUAUUGCUUUGACUCCUAAGCAGACCUCAACAUUAAUGUGACAAUUGUAUCUUGUAAGCAGAUAAGGGCUAUAAGGUACCACC